CUUUGCAAUGUGCGCAAGCACGACAAGGAUAAUCCUAUUGGUUUCUGCUAAAGGAACCUUUUGACAGUCCUAGAAACACUUAUCGAAUAAGGGGUGGGCAAGUUCUGGUGUCAGCCGCCGCGGUAAA
rnacentral:rRNA from 1 species